GUGCUCGGCCUCACCUGGCCAGCUCGAGGAGUGCAUUCUGACGGUACUGCUCCUCAGGGUUGGUGGGCUCACAGUCGUGUUCAUCAAAGUACGAGGCCAUUGUUACUGAGAAAAAAAUACACUUACCUGAAACGUUAGCAACAAAAACAAACAAGUCAUUCUUCCGGGUAUGACAACUGUAAACAUGUGGGAUUUGGCCAAUCACAAAGUGGAACCACGUUACAUUUCUUCUUCUUUUAAAAAUCCCGGAGGCUGACAAACAACAAUGUAGCAUUACUGCCACCAUGUGGUGUGAGGCGUGUACUGCCUGUGAAAAUCUAUGGACUCUUCUUCAUC